rnacentral:rRNA from 1 species
CGGGAAAAGCUCAAAUUUGAAAUCUGGCGGUUCUGCCGUCCGAGUUGUAUUCUGGAGAAGCGUCUUCCGUGCCGGACCGUGUACAAGUCCCUUGGAACAGGGCGUCGUAGAGGGUGAGAAUCCCGUCUUUGACAUGGACCACCGGUGCUAUGCGAUGCGCUCUCGAA